AUUGAACGCUGGCGGCAUGCUUUACACAUGCAAGUCGAACGGCAGCGCGGGCUUCGGCCUGGCGGCGAGUGGCGAACGGGUGAGUAAUGCAUCGGAAAGUGCCCAGUAGUGGGGGAUAGCCCGGCGAAAGCCGGAUUAAUACCGCAUACGACCUGAGGGUGAAAGCGGGGGACCGAAAGGCCUCGCGCUAUUGGAGCGGCCGAUGUCGGAUUAGCUAGUUGGUGGGGUAAAGGCUUACCAAGGCGACGAUCCGUAGCUGGUCUGAGAGGACGACCAGCCACACUGGGACUGAGACACGGCCCAGACUCCUACGGGAGGCAGCAGUGGGGAAUUUUGGACAAAGGGGGCAACCCUGAUCCAGCCAUGCCGCGUGCGGGAAGAAGGCCUUCGGGUUGUAAACCGCUUUUGUUCGGGAAGAAAUCCUCUGGGCUAAUACCCCGGGGGGAUGACGGUACCGGAAGAAUAAGCACCGGCUAACUACGUG
rnacentral:rRNA from 1 species